UAUAUUUAGCACCUGCUGGGUUUGAGUGUAUGAAAGGUUGUUGAUUUUUAGUAGCCGUGUUUCCAUGAAUACGACAGUGGCACAUGGCAUUGCAUUUCCCACCUGUGGCGUGCAUGUAAACAGCGGUAAUGCACUAGGACGAGAACGCAGCGCUGACGUUGCUCAGUAUUGUGAACGGUAGCUGUGAUGUUGACAAGACCUAUGUCAACCUAUGUUAUGUUCAAAGGAGCGUAGCUGAUUCAGCUAAUUUGUAUUUCAUUAAUUUUGUUGCAAAAACACAUGGUGGGAACCAGUAAAACAGGAUGGCAACAGAUAAGGACGAAAAGUCCGACAGCUUUAGGAUCGACAGAAUAAUGGUGAAAAUGUAUAUGAUAAGGUACGUCAACUAGGGCUUGUAAAAUAAGGAAAAGCAUCGCACCUCUUGUGAAGCAUGCCCGUAUGCACUGCUAUUUAGCCUUUCUUCUUUGGUUAAGGAAGUUCAUAGAACGAACUAAAGAAGGGAUCCCCAAACACGACUCAAUUCAUUAUGUUUGUUCGAGUGGCUUCAUUUAAAAACAUUAAUGCCUGCAUGCCAACAAGGAUUUGUAAGAUGAGUUUGUCUCAUGAUUUGUGAGCAACUCUUGUUUUCAUUACAUUUCCUCUGAAUGAUUUCGCUCAUUUAAAUAGAAUGUUUUGGCCUAAAAAAAUACAGUUGCCUGUGUUAAUUGUUUGUGAAAGUUACCACAAAAAUUCCAAACUUUGAGCUGCGAAACAACAGAAACUCUAGUUUCUUCCUGGUUUUUCUCUUUAAAACUAACACCCGGUUUUAGCCCCCCAAAUUUCAAAAAAAUAUAAAACCCCCGCAAACAAAGGACCUUACCUAUAACUUAUUGCAGGAGCCUGUUAGGUCUUGAAGACAGUUGCUAAAGCUGCAAUCACAAAGCUUUAAAAAAAAAAAAAAAAAAACUUGUCACCAGUCGACAUUUGUUCUUCCAAUUUUUAACUUUUUGCAGCAUGUAAUCACUAUUCAUUAAUAUUGGAAUUGCCAGCCUUUGUACACAAUAUCACAAAAAGAGAUUGUAAUUAUAAAAAAUCCUUAAGGCUUUCAAAAGUGACUGCUACGGAUAGACAUCUUUGUUGAUAAGCUCCAGUGUGCUACAGAAAAAGGGGUGCCAUAGAAAUUACUUGUUGGUCCAGCUAAUUUUGCUUAUCUAGAUUGCCUCCACUCCAUAUAACAAGCCAUUCAUUUCUUUCACAAUGAAGUUUGUGUAUAUAUAGCUCCUCUAUGCAAAUACCAGGACCAGUGCAAAUACCAGGGCCGUGAACUGUUUGACAUUCUGUUGCAUUUUUACAGCAAAAAUGCAGCAAAACUAUGCUGUUUUCACAAUUUAGGAUGGAGUGAUGGAUUUCUCCAUACUAACCAUCAUCCCCAUGAUAGCUGAACGAUUGCAGUGCCCAGGUUCCCUCUUGUAAUUUUUUGUAGGAAACUAAGUGUGGGCACUGUGUGGGAGCCUUGAGUAAACAGGUGCUGCGUUCAGGUGUAGCCACUGUAGUUCAGGGGGCAGAAUGCCUGGUGCUGUUAAAACGGUAGAUAUUUAUUGAAAUGGGGAAAGUAAAACAUUUUUCUUUUCUACAGCCAUUUUUCUGUCAAAAAAAAAAAGUCAGAAUAAAAAGGGGAAAUAAAGAAAGUCCGGCAGCCCCUUGUGCAGACGGCAGCUAAAGAAGGGGAGAAAAUAAAUUUCACAUUGGAAUAAAUUCGCGGGGCACGUCACUCGAUGCAACUAUGCCCGAUGAUCGAUGAGUCGACCUGUGUAGCAUCGGUUGCAUGCCACCUGUAGGCACCAGGGUGAGCAGCAGUGUGCACUUAUUGAAGCUUGGAGGAAGAAAAAGAUACGAGAGCAUUGCGUCACGCAGCCAGCCUUGGCAAGCGAACGCUCCGUGAAGCCAUCCCUUUGGCCCAACACGUGACCUCUUGCGUCGAGAUCACUCGGCAAGAAUGGAGAUUUGCCGAGACGUUUGGUUCCCAGUAGCUAUGCGGGCUAUGCCAGUAGUUUUUAUUCGGUGCGCGCUUGUUCGGCUGCCCUUCCGUGGCUCUGCCAGCAGAGCGGGAACACUAAAACCAACCGCGCACAUUGACGUGCGAUCACGUGUUGGGCCACCACACUCGGCUUCAAUCGCGUUGCGUUCCCUUCCUCCAUGUAUUGAAGGUCGCUAUCGCACCGUGACUAUAAUUGCCUGCUAGUGCACUGUACCGUGGCCACUAUUGAAGGGACAUUACACAUGGAGCGAUAGCUCAUUGCACAGAUGUGAUCAGUUUUUUUUUUUUUUUUUUU